rnacentral:rRNA from 1 species
AUGCAAGUCGAACGAGAAUCUACUGAAAGAGUUUUCGGACAAUGGAUGUAGAGGAAAGUGGCAGACGGGUGAGUAACGCGUGAGGAACCUGCCUUGAAGAGGGGGACAACAGUUGGAAACGACUGCUAAUACCGCAUAACGCAUAGGGGUCGCAUGAUCUUUAUGCCAAAGAUUUAUUGCUUCAAGAUGGCCUCGCGUCUGAUUAGCUAGUUGGCGGGGUAACGGCCCACCAAGGCGACGAUCAGUAGCCGGACUGAGAGGUUGAACGGCCACAUUGGGACUGAGAUACGGCCCAGACUCCUACGGGAGGCAGCAGUGGGGAAUAUUGGGCAAUGGGCGCAAGCCUGACCCAGCAACGCCGCGUGAAGGAAGAAGGCUUUCGGGUUGUAAACUUCUUUUAAGAGGGAAGAGUAGAAGACGGUACCUCUAGAAUAAGCCACGGCUAACUACGUGCCAGCAGCCGCGGUAAUACGUAGGUGGCAAGCGUUGUCCGGAUUUACUGGGUGUAAAGGGCGUGCAGCCGGGUCUGCAAGUCAGAUGUGAAAUCCAUGGGCUCAACCCAUGAACUGCAUUUGAAACUGUAGAUCUUGAGUGUCGGAGGGGCAAUCGGAAUUCCUAGUGUAGCGGUGAAAUGCGUAGAUAUUAGGAGGAACACCAGUGGCGAAGGCGGAUUGCUGGACGAUAACUGACGGUGAGGCGCGAAAGUGUGGGGAGCGAACAGGAUUAGAUACCCUGGUAGUCCACACUGUAAACGAUGAAUACUAGGUGUGCGGGGACUGACCCCCUGCGUGCCGCAGUAAACACAAUAAGUAUUCCACCUGGGGAGUACGAUCGCAAGGUUGAAACUCAAAGGAAUUGACGGGGG